UGGAAAGAAAGACCUGAAUCCAAAAGC
rnacentral:piRNA from 1 species